GCCGCGGUGGCGGAACUGGUAGACGCGUAGGUCUCAAAAACCUAUGAGGUUUAUCCUCAUGUGAGUUCGAUUCUCACCCGCGGCA
rnacentral:tRNA from 1 species